rnacentral:lncRNA from 1 species
AGCAGCAGGUAUACGAGAAACGUUUAGCUAGCUGCCCAGGCCAGGCAAGUGAAAAGCAAUGUGGUCCGAGUUGUGAGGCCAGAAAAAGACAUAAUUUGCUAGGACAUAGGAACCAUAGGACUACGAGGAUGGUUGAUGUGGACAUGGAAGUGAAAAGGACACAUAAGGCAGUUUUGGCAGAGCCCAGUUGAAACACUUGAAAAUGUAACUCGACAAGUUUUAACAGCUGAAUAUGGAUUUCUCUGACAUCUCCUUUUUAGGUCAAUGAUGGAAGAACAUACUAUUCAUGUAUUACUGGCUAUGAGGCGAUAGAAUGUGCUGGAAGACCAAAAGAACCAUGAACUUGUUUGAUGAUUGGCUGCCUUCACCAUGCCGGGGGAUGGAGCCGAGAGAUGAAAACUCCAGGAUGAGGAUGUGAGAGGAGACGAUAAAACAUCACAUCGAUGACGCUGUGAAGUCAUCAGGAAUAUGAGGAUCUACAUUGCAGUAUGAUUGGCUGCCUUCACCAUGCCAGAGGAUGGAGCCAAGAGAAGACACAACAUCACAUCAAUGACUCUGUGGAGUCAUUGGGAAUAUGAGGAUCCACAUUGAAGUAUGAUUGGCUGCCUUCACCAUGCCGGGGGAUGGAGCCGAGAGAUGAAAGCUCCUGAAUGGGGAUGUAAGAGGAGACACAACAUAUGAGAAUCCACAUUGCAGAGUAAAAGAUGCUGUACAGUAUCUGGAUAAUCUGUUCCCCCAUCUCGGUUGCAUCAAGCUUGGUGAACAUCACUGGUUCAUCAGAUCUGCUACAAAAGAACUGGAGGACAUCUUAUAGCUAUCUGUGAGAAAAUGCGAGUGGACUUAUAACUCAACUGAAGACAUCUAGAGGACGGCCCCGGUGCUGUAGGAAUUUUAGACCUACAGCUAGUAAACAAUACAACUUUUAAUUUCAAUUUUGCCGCUGUAAGUUGCAUGGGACAUACCCAAAAGUAGGGAGACUCACUCGAGUGAAAACCUGAAUAACUCACUGGCAUUUUGAUAGUGAGCAUUUGCCAAAACCAAUCUUUGAGGUUUUUCAUGCUUAUAAGCGAUUGCUUUCCAAUUCCAAUGAAACUCAAAAAUGUGGGAAAAACCCCCAAGGGUCUUUACAUGCAUUGUAAAUACCCUAUUAUUUAGAUGAACGCAACCUUACUUUCAUGCCAUGUGUUUAGCAUAAUUUUAUUAUGUUUGUAUGAACUGUCCAGUGGUCCAAACCUUGGCAAUGAGAGGCCAAUACAAAACAGAUUAUAUUUCAAUUCUUCAAAGUGUACAUAAGCGAUGAAACGAGGUCUAGCUGCAAUAAAUGUUAGAAAUCAAAGUA